AUUGAACGCUGGCGGCAUGCCUAACACAUGCAAGUCGAACGAGAGGAGGAAGGGUGAGUAAUGUCUGGGAAACUGCCCGAUGGAGGGGGAUAACGACUGGAAACGGUAGCUAAUACCGCAUACCAUCGGAUGUGCCCAGAUGGGAUUAGCUAGUAGGGGGGGUAACGGCUCACCUAGGCGACGAUCCCUAGCUGGUCUGAGAGGAUGACCAGCCACACUGGAACUGAGACACGGUCCAGACUCCUACGGGAGGCAGCAGUGGGGAAUAUUGCACAAUGGGCGCAAGCCUGAUGCAGCCAUGCCGCGUGUAUGAAGAAGGCCUUCGGGUUGUAAAGUACUUUCAGCGAGGAGGCGUUACUCGCAGAAGAAGCACCGGCUAACUCCGUGCCAGCCGCCGCGGUAAUAC
rnacentral:rRNA from 1 species